ACGUAGGGUGCGAGCGUUGUCCGGAAUUAUUGGGCGUAAAGAGCUCGUAGGCGGUCUGUCGCGUCGAACGUGAAAUCCCCGGGCUCAACCCGGGAACUGCGUCCGAGACUGGCAGGCUCGAAUCCGGGAGAGGGAUGUGGAAUUCCAGGUGUAGCGGUGAAAUGCGUAGAUAUCUGGAGGAACACCGGUGGCGAAGGCGGCAUCCUGGACCGGUAUUGACGCUGAGGCGCGAAAGCCAGGGGAGCAAACGGGA
rnacentral:rRNA from 1 species